rnacentral:rRNA from 1 species
UACGUAGGGGGCAAGCGUUGUCCGGAUUCAUUGGGCGUAAAGGGCGUGUAGGCGGCCAGGUAGGUCGGUUGUGAAAACUGGAGGCUCAACCUUCAGAGGUCGACCGAAACCAUCUGGCUAGAGUCCGGGAGAGGAGAGUGGAAUUCCUGGUGUAGCGGUGAAAUGCGCAGAUAUCGGGAGGAACACCAGCGGCGAAGGCGGCACUCUGGGCUGGAACUGACGCUGAGGAGCGAAAGCGUGGGUAGCAAACAGG